UUGUGUUUAAGAGUGGGAUGGGCCAGCUGAUGGACUUGCACGAGGAAAAUUUCAGACAAGCAAACUUCAUAAGUGACCCAGGUUUAGCAGGAGAAGUUGGUACAUCUAUCCCAUUCUCAUCUCCAGAGUAACCCAGCACCAGCCAGUUUUUCUGCACCAUGUUCUGUACCACUUCACCAGCUGAAUCUCUUGGACAGAGAAAGAAUAUGUUCCUGUGCCCCCUAUAACGUGGCCUCGGGCAGCAGAAAGGUUCAUACCUCC